CAGAUCGAACUAAGUGAGGGCCACCCCUUAUUAUCCUGCCGCCAUUCCGCCUCGCAGCCUGUAUUGGAAACUUUUCAAGCUCGUGACGACUGCGGUGAUUUCAUUUGUAACCUUUCCUUCAUUCCCAAAGAAACAAGACUAUUUCGGGUUUGCCUUGCCUUUAAGAGAAAUUUCAGCAGCGACUUUAGAAUGCAGAAAAGUGACUCAUACGUUCGGUUCAUCUCGUUGUAGAGUUUACCUCUUUUGGGCUGGCCGACCUCCUCUAACUUCUUACUAUUCGCAAAAUUUGAGUAUGUUUCUUAGUUAAUUAAAGUGGUCAGCCCUGCACCAGCUUUAUUUUUGGUGCA